CCUACGGGCGGCAGCAGUGAGGAAUAUUGGUCAAUGGACGAGAGUCUGAACCAGCCAAGUAGCGUGAAGGAUGACUGCCCUAUGGGUUGUAAACUUCUUUUAUAUGGGAAUAAAAUGUUCCACGUGUGGGAUUUUGUAUGUACCAUAUGAAUAAGGAUCGGCUAACUCCGUGCCAGCAGCCGCGGUAAUACGGAGGAUCCGAGCGUUAUCCGGAUUUAUUGGGUUUAAAGGGAGCGUAGGUGGAUUGUUAAGUCAGUUGUGAAAGUGUGCGGCUCAACCGUAAAAUUGCAGUUGAAACUGGCAGUCUUGAGUACAGUAGAGGUGGGCGGAAUUCGUGGUGUAGCGGUGAAAUGCUUAGAUAUCACGAAGAACUCCGAUUGCGAAGGCAGUUCACUGGACUGCAACUGACACUGAGGCUCGAAAGUGUGGGUAUCAAACAGGAGUAGAUACCCUUGUAGUC
rnacentral:rRNA from 1 species